rnacentral:misc_RNA from 1 species
UCACUUUAGUUUUUUAUUUUAUUUCAGGAGUACCUCUACAUUACUUUCCGAAUCCUGAGAAGGAUGCAGAGAGAUUUCAGUCUUGGGUGAAGAAAAUAGGGGGUGAUAUUAGAAGCUUGAACAGUGCUGUUAUUUACAAAACUCGAAGAAUUUGUCGUCAACACUUUGAGGAAAAAUUCCUGUACCAAAAAAAAAGACUUUGCAAGUUGGCUGUUCCAACCUUGCUGUUGUCCUCCGAUGACCUGUUAGCAUCAAAUGAAAGUCCAUUGGCUCCAGACUUCCAACCAUUUCAAGAAGCUACACUAUUGAAUCCUAUUGUAACUCCGUCUUGCAGUACAGCACCAACUAUAAAUCCAUUAGUUGCUAGCAAACCAACUACAUCCCGAGAUGCUACAUUAUCGCAUUCCAAGCCAAGAAAACCUGUUGAAUACAGAACUCCAGUAACCGUUUUGAAAGCGAAAUAUGAAAAAAAUGAAUUGAAAAAAUUGGAGCUGAAACUUCGUCAUGCACUGAAGAUGAAGAUGACUUACCGUGACAGAU